AGACCGUAAGGACUGGUGGAGCGCUUAGAAGUGAGAAUGCCGGUAUGAGUAGCGAAAGAUCAGUGAGAAUCUGAUCCACCGAAUGACUAAGGUUUCCUGGGGAAGGCUCGUCCUCCCAGGGUUAGUCGGGACCUAAGCCGAGGCCGAAAGGCGUAGGCGAUGGAUAACAGGUUGAGAUUCCUGUACUAGUUGAUGAUGUUUGAGCGAUGGAGGGACGCAGGAGGCUAAGUUGUGCAUCCAGUUGGAAAGGGAUGUUCAAGCCACAAGUCAGUCAAAGAGUCAAAUGCUUUUUGGCGGGUUGACAAGUGGUGAUGAGGACCGAAAUUUAAGUAGGGAAGCAACCAACGUCACACUGCCGAGAAAAGCUUCUAGUGAGUCAUCAACUACCCGUACCGCAAACCGACACAGGUAGUCGAGGAGAGAAUCCUCAGGUGAGCGAGUGAACUCUCGUUAAGGAACUCGGCAAAAUGACCCCGUAACUUCGGGAGAAGGGGUGCUGUGCGCAAGCACAGCCGCAGUGAAAAGGCCCAGGCGACUGUUUAUCAAAAACACAGGUUUCUGCAAAAUCGUAAGAUGACGUAUAGGGGCUGACGCCUGCCCGGUGCUGGAAGGUUAAGUGGAUGAGUUAGCUUCGGCGAAGCCCAGAAAUGAAGCCCCAGUAAACGGCGGCCGUAACUAUAACGGUCCUAAGGUAGCGAAAUUCCUUGUCGGGUAAGUUCCGACCCGCACGAAAGGCGUAACGAUCUGGGCACUGUCUCAACGAGAGACUCGGUGAAAUUAAGAUACCUGUGAAGAAGCAGGUUACCCGCGACAGGACGGAAAGACCCCAUGGAGCUUUACUGUAGCUUGAUAUUGGGUGUUGACACAGCUUGUACAGGAUAGGUAGGAGCCAUUGAAGCCGGAACGCUAGUUUCGGCAGAGGCGUUGGUGGGAUACUACCCUCGCUGUGUGAACACUCUAACCCGCGCCACUUAGCGUGGCGGGAGACAGUGUCAGGUAGGCAGUUUGACUGGGGCGGUCGCCUCCCAAACAGUAACGGAGGCGCCCAAA
rnacentral:rRNA from 1 species